AAAUAUACCAGCAGAUAAAAUAUAGUCUUUGGAUGAAAGGUAAUAAUUGAAGAUGGAUUACCUUUUGUCCAAAGACUGUAUUUUAUCUACUGGU